CGGAGCAUGGCGCAGCUUGGUAGCGCGCUUGGCUUGGGACCAAGAGGUCGGGGGUUCAAAUCCCCCUGCUCCGACCA
rnacentral:tRNA from 3 species